GACGAACGCUGGCGGCGUGCCUAAUACAUGCAAGUAGAACGCUGAAGGAGGAGCUUGCUUCUCUGGAUGAGUUGCGAACGGGUGAGUAACGCGUAGGUAACCUGCCUGGUAGCGGGGGAUAACUAUUGGAAACGAUAGCUAAUACCGCAUAAUAGUAGAUGUUGCAUGACAUUUGCUUAAAAGGUGCAAUUGCAUCACUACCAGAUGGACCUGCGUUGUAUUAGCUAGUUGGUGAGGUAACGGCUCACCAAGGCAACGAUACAUAGCCGACCUGAGAGGGUGAUCGGCCACACUGGGACUGAGACACGGCCCAGACUCCUACGGGAGGCAGCAGUAGGGAAUCUUCGGCAAUGGACGGAAGUCUGACCGAGCAACGCCGCGUGAGUGAAGAAGGGUUUCGGAUCGUAAAGCUCUGUUGUAAGAGAAGAACGAGUGUGAGAGUGGAAAGUUCACACUGUGACGGUACCUUACCAGAAAGGGACGGCUAACUACGUG
rnacentral:rRNA from 1 species